rnacentral:misc_RNA from 1 species
CUGCAUUGUUCAUUGCCUCAUAUGCCUGUCCUGCUGUCAUAGCACCAUCACCUAUAACUGCAAUUACAUGAUUGUUCUUCCCCACCAAGUCUCUACCAACUGCCNNNNNNNNCUAGCCCAGCUGAAAUGCUGGUAGAACUAUGUCCAACUCCAAAGGCAUCAUGUUCACUUUCAUCCCUCUUGGGGAACCCAGCAAGCCCAAAAGUUUGUCGAAUUGUAGGCAUUCUUGAUCUCCUGCCUGUUAAAAUCUUAUGUGGGUAGGCCUGAU